rnacentral:rRNA from 1 species
CAGCCGCCGCGGGAAUACGAAGGGGGCUAGCGUUGUUCGGAUUUACUGGGCGUAAAGCGCACGCAGGCGGAUCGAUCAGUCAGGGGUGAAAUCCCAGAGCUCAACUCUGGAACUGCCUUUGAUACUGUCGAUCUGGAGUAUGGAAGAGGUGAGUGGAAUUCCGAGUGUAGAGGUGAAAUUCGUAGAUAUUCGGAGGAACACCAGUGGCGAAGGCGGCUCACUGGUCCAUUACUGACGCUGAGGUGCGAAAGCGUGGGGAGCAAACAGGAUUAGAUACCCCUGUAGUCCCUGUCUCUUAUAC